rnacentral:rRNA from 1 species
AUAUCAAUAAGCGGAGGAAAAGAAACCAACAGGGAUUGCCUUAGUAACGGCGAGUGAAGCGGCAAAAGCUCAAAUUUGAAAUCUGGCUUCCUAUCUUGGGGCCCGAGUUGUAAUUUGGAGAGGAUGCUUUGGGUGUGGUCGCGGUCUAAGUCCCCUGGAACGGGGCAUCAUAGAGGGUGAGAAUCCCGUCUGGGACCGCUGGCCCCGCCCGUGUAAAGCUCCUUCGACGAGUCGAGUUGUUUGGGAAUGCAGCUCUAAAUGGGUGGUAAAUUUCAUCUAAAGCUAAAUAUUGGCCGGAGACCGAUAGCGCACAAGUAGAGUGAUCGAAAGAUGAAAAGCACUUUGAAAAGAGAGUUAAACAGCAUGUGAAAUUGUUGAAAGGGAAGCGCUUGCGACCAGACUCGCCCGCGGAGGCUCAGCCGCCAUGCUUUGGCGGUGCACUCCUUCGCGGUCGGGCCAGCGUCGGUUCUGACGGUUGGUUAAAGACUCUCGGAAUGUGUCGUCUCUCGGGGCGUCUUAUAGCCGAGGGUGCAAUGCGGCCUGUCGGGACCGAGGAACGCGCUUCGGCACGGACGCUGGCGUAAUGGUCGUAAGCGA